rnacentral:rRNA from 1 species
AACGAACGCUGGCGGCAGGCUUAACACAUGCAAGUCGAGCGCCCCGCAAGGGGAGCGGCAGACGGGUGAGUAACGCGUGGGAAUCUACCCAUCUCUACGGAAUAACGCAUGGAAACGUGUGCUAAUACCGUAUACGUCCUUCGGGAGAAAGAUUUAUCGGAGAUGGAUGAGCCGGCGUUGGAUUAGCUAGUUGGGGGGGUAAAGGCCUACCAAGGCGACGAUCCAUAGCUGGUCUGAGAGGAUGAUCAGCCACACUGGGAGUGGGACACGGCCCAGACUCCUACGGGAGGCAGCAGUGGGGAAUAUUGGACAAUGGGCGCGAGCCUGAUCCAGCCAUGCCGCGUGAGUGAUGAAGGCCCUUGGGUUGUAAAGCUCUUUCACCGGUGAAGAUAAUGACGGUAACCGGAGAAGAAGCCCCGGCUAACUUCGUGCCAGCCGCCGCGGUAAAAC